rnacentral:rRNA from 1 species
GAUGAACGCUGGCGGCGUGCCUAAUACAUGCAAGUCGAACGCGCCGAGAAGGGAACUUGUUCCUUUCAACGCGAGUGGCGAACGGGUGAGUAACACGUGGGAAACCUACCCUUCAGCGGGGGAUAACCAUCGGAAACGAUGACUAAUACCGCAUAGUUGUUCCAGUCGCAUGACUGGAAUGGGAAAGACGGCUUCGGCUGUCACUGAAGGAUGGUCCCGCGGUGCAUUAGCUAGACGGUGGGGUAACGGCCUACCGUGGCUGUGAUGCAUAGCCGACCUGAGAGGGUGAUCGGCCACAUUGGGACUGAGACACGGCCCAAACUCCUACGGGAGGCAGCAGUAGGGAAUCUUCCGCAAUGGACGCAAGUCUGACGGAGCAACGCCGCGUGUGUGAAGAAGGUCUUCGGAUCGUAAAGCACUGUUAUCAGAGAAGAAUAGCCUAUUGAGUAACUGUUAUAGGUUUGACGGUAACUGAUCAGAAAGCCACGGCUAACUACGUG